GACGUAGGGGGCGAGCGUUGUCCGGAAUUACUGGGCGUAAAGAGCACGUAGGCGGGUGUUUAAGUCAGGUGUGAAAUACCGGGGCUCAACUUCGGGGCUGCACCUGAAACUGGAUAUCUUGAGGGCAGGAGAGGGCAGUAGAAUUCCUGGUGUAGCGGUGAAAUGCGUAGAAAUCAGGAGGAAUACCAGUGGCGAAGGCGACUGUCUGGACUGACCCUGACGCUGAGGUGCGAAAGCGUGGGUAG
rnacentral:rRNA from 1 species